AACAACCAGUGAGCUUGGAAGAGGACCCUGGACCCUAGUCUGACGUCCGAAAGGAAGCCUUGGUUUGGCAGGGGACUCCCUCCGUGACUUCAGACAAAGGAAGCCGUUGUCUGGCCUUCACGAAAUACUUUUUAUUAAAUACUUGGUUACUUGCUUACACAACAUAAGCUGAACUUUGGGAGCCCACCUGCAACACCAUCUUACUAAGAGACUGGUUCAAUGAGAUGGAACAACCUAUGCCCCUCAUCAACAGGAUAAUCCCUCAAGAUUGAGGAUGAACAACAAAAGGGGUGAUUUGACACCAG
rnacentral:lncRNA from 1 species